rnacentral:rRNA from 1 species
UGGGGAAUAUUGGACAAUGGGGGCAACCCUGAUCCAGCCAUGCCGCGUGAGUGAUGAAGGCCUUCGGGUUGUAAAGCCCUUUCGGCGGGGACGAUGAUGACGGUACCCGCAGAAGAAGCCCCGGCUAACUUCGUGCCAGCAGCCGCGGUAAUACGAAGGGGGCUAGCGUUGCUCGGAAUCACUGGGCGUAAAGGGCGCGUAGGCGGCUCUGUUAGUCAGGCGUGAAAUUCCUGGGCUCAACCUGGGGACUGCGCUUGAUACGGCGGGGCUUGAGGAUGGAAGAGGGUCGUGGAAUUCCCAGUGUAGAGGUGAAAUUCGUAGAUAUUGGGAAGAACACCGGUGGCGAAGGCGGCGACCUGGUCCAUUACUGACGCUGAGGCGCGACAGCGUGGGGAGCAAA